rnacentral:rRNA from 1 species
AACGAACGCUAGCGGCGUGCCUAACACAUGCAAGUCGAGCGAGAAAAGACUUCGGUCUAAGUAAAGCGGCGCACGGGUGAGUAACACGUGGGUAACGUACCCUCGGGUGGGGAGUAACGGACCGAAAGGUUUGUCUAAUACCGCAUCAGACCACAGUCCUCGCGGGGACGAGGGGUCGAAAGGGGGCGUGUCGCAAGGCAGCUCUCGCCUGAGGAUCGGCCCGCGGACCAUUAGCUAGUUGGUAGGGUAACGGCCUACCAAGGCUACGAUGGUUAGCUGGUCUGAGAGGACGAUCAGCCACACUGGGACUGGAACACGGCCCAGACUCCUACGGGAGGCAGCAGUGGGGAAUAUUGCGCAAUGGGCGAAAGCCUGACGCAGCAACGCCGCGUGGGUGAAGAAGG